GGCCGAGUGGCAAAAUGGUUACUGCGUUGCUUUCCGAUCGUUACGAGUCUCCGAUUCGUAACUGGUAGGCAGAGACUGUGGGUUCGAGUCCCACCUUGGUCG